rnacentral:lncRNA from 1 species
CGUCCCGCAGGAGCUGAUUAAAUGGGUCCUAUUAUACUUCCUGAGCUAAGCUUGAUCUUUCAUUGUCCAGCCGGCCCAGCUCCCGGGACCGUGAGCUCCAUUUUCACUGCGGACGAUUGCAAGUGCCAAAAGUGGGAAUCACCGGUGGUGAAAAAGUUUUAUGGGUUUCCCCUUUGCCAUUUCCAUCUAGAUGACAUCAUAAAACGCCACAGGAAAGAGCAGACGGAGGGCAGCGCCACGGGGGACCGGCGGCAGCAGCAGGUGAAGAACAGGAACGUGGCAUUCGGGUCCGGGCGGCCCCGAUUCCGCGCCUGGAUGCAGAGGAAUUUGCAAGGACCUAACCGUUUUAGAAGAGGGUUUGGACAACAACAACACAACCGGAGACAGUUCAGGAACACUGCACCCGGCCCCAGGAGAAGGGCAGCUGCUGCAUUAAACAGAGUGAGCCCUUUGAAUCGCCAGGCAUCGGCUCAGGAGGGCAACAGGAACGACGAGGCUUUCGCCAAAAGCAGCGGGCAGCCCGAGGGACGGCGACGGCCACCCCCAGGCCCCAAGAGAUUCCGAGCGGCUGCUGCCAGCACCCACGCCCCGGGGAGAAGGCCUUUCCUGCUGAACCGGGGACCAGCCUUCCAGCAGAAGCGGAUGCCGCAGCGGUUCUCCAAAGCCAACUUUCAGAGAGGGCAGAUGGAUGCUAAUGGAGAAGGGAAACCACCCAGGAGGAGAAGGUAAUUGGUGAGCAAAGGCACGCUGCAAACACGACGUGCUCUUUCACGCUGGAACCGGAGCUGGACGCAUCUCCCUGUCCCGGCAGGUGGCAAGUGAAACCCAGCCCCGGAGCGGUUCUGACGGUUUCUGUGGCUAAUCCCCAGGCGGGCCAGGUUGGCGCGUAAGUAAAUGAGGUGAUUUGUUCAGAUGGGAGCCCUACAAAAGCCAUGGCAAAUCCCUUUAGCAUUACUGCAGCUCCCCUUCUUCUAUAAUGAGUGCACAGAGAAUGGUUCACAUCCAAAAUGGUUGGCAAAUGAUGUUUUGGCGUAUCUGAAAGGAGACGAUCAUUACCCUGCGCUCGUUUGGUAUCCGGAGUAAGGAGAAACAGAAGGAGGUGGCAGCAGGAGGUGGCAGGUUGGCCAUGCCCUUGGUGGGGUGUCAGGGAAAAUGCUGUGCACCCCAAAGGGAUGCGGUGGGCUGGCUGUGCCAGAGGAGGCCAGCAGAGGCUGGAAGGGGAUGGUGUCACCCCUGGGCUGAGCUGGUGACCCAGGCACCCAGCGAAGGGCAGAGAGAGGGGUGGGGUAGGGCUCAUGUCAUCUCCUGGGUGCAGAGGGCCCCCCGUGGUAGCCCUGAUGUGAUGCGGUCCCCAGCGCAGGGACACUGCACGGUGUGCGGGUGUCUCCUUGACACCUUGCUGGUUUGCAGAUGAUGGGACGUGAGCUGCCUCAGCAUCCGCGGUGACCGCAGGUCUGUGCUUUCCUCAGGCCCGGAUCCAAGCGGCCGUUCCUGCGAAGCCGGAGGCCCCCGCCGCCGCCAGCCAAGCCCCAGCCCAAGGGGGUGCUGCUGAGGUUCAACUUCCGCGCCAUGGCCAACCAGGUAGAGGGUUGUCGACGGGACAGGCGGCGCCUGGCACCUUCCAGCAGCCCUGCCACUGGGCUCCUAACGUCACGCUCAGGUGUCUGGGGCUGCCAGCUGGGUUUGUCUGGCAUAACCCGGGAGGCAAGUCCCAUAGCCGCGUUGGCUGGGUCGCUCGUGCGACUGAAGGCACCUGAGAAGACUGUUCAGCAACUGCAGACUCAGCCCAGUUUUCCCAACUCUGUUGGGUCCUCUUGGCCUAUCCAUGUGCUUGCUCAGAGCAGGGAGAUGCUGCUUGUGAGUGGUCCUGGCCGGGGGGGACCAUUUCACUGUCGGUGCUCCCUAUUCCUCAGGGACACACAGCGCUUCUGGGCUUUGCUCUCUCUUUGCUUUGGUGACCUUCUCGGUGCCACGUUUUACACUGAAGUAUGGUCCAAGAGCCCUGGGGCAAGUCAGAAAUCCUGCUCCACCUUCUUCAUUGCCGGCAUUUCUUGUCUGGACGGUUUGGUUUUACUUCAUGCCUUGUGCUCAAAUGCCAUUUGCUUGCUCCUGCUGAGGACGCCUGGUAUCUUGGGGCUGGGCACUGCUUGGAGGUUUUCCAGAUGCACACAGUCUGUCGAGCUCCUUGUCUCCGUUUGCUGAGUGGUUUAAUUGACUAACCGGCUGCCCAGCACCGUCCUGACUGAUGGGCUCUAAUCAAUACCCUGCUGCAAGUGUGGCCACGCUUUUCCAGGAGCCGCGGGACUGACUGGCUCUCCCUUUCCCCCGCAGACCAGCCUGACGCUGGAUGAGAGGUUCUCUGGGCUGAGGAAUAAGAGGCGCUUUACAGCAGCCCGGAGCGCCGGCCGGACGGUCACCAUGCCUUAGCACCACCUGCCCCUCGCAGGGGCUGCCCGAAACAGUCCGGGCCCCGUACCGGGCAGCUCAAUAAAACUUGAUAGAUUUCCUCCGAGAGCGCUGAU